GAUUAACGCUGGCGGCGUGCCUAACACAUGCAAGUCGAACGAUGAAACUUAGUAGACUUCUUCGGACAGACACUAAGCGGAUUAGUGGCGAACGGGUGAGUAACGCGUGAGUAACCUGCCUUACACAAGGGGAUAGCCUUUGGAAACGAAGAAUAAUACCCUAUAAAACCAUAAAAGCACAUGCUAGAAUGGUCAAAGUGAUAGCGGUGUAAGAUGGACUUGCGUCUGAUUAGCUAGUUGGUGAGAUAAAAGCUCACCAAGGCAACGAUCAGUAGCCGGCUUGAGAGAGUGUACGGCCACAUUGGGACUGAGACACGGCCCAGACUCCUACGGGAGGCAGCAGUGGGGAAUUUUGCACAAUGGGGGAAACCCUGAUGCAGCGACGCCGCGUGAUUUAGAAGGCCUUCGGGUUGUAAAAAUCUUUUGUAUAGGAAGAAAAUGACAGUACUAUACGAAUAAGGUCCGGCUAAUUACGUGC
rnacentral:rRNA from 1 species